rnacentral:rRNA from 1 species
GACGAACGCUGGCGGCGUGCUUAACACAUGCAAGUCGAACGGAAAGGCCCUGCUUUUGUGGGGUGCUCGAGUGGCGAACGGGUGAGUAACACGUGAGUAACCUGCCCUUGACUUUGGGAUAACUUCAGGAAACUGGGGCUAAUACCGGAUAGGAGCUCCUGCUGCGUGGUGGGGGUUGGAAAGUUUCGGCGGUUGGGGAUGGACUCGCGGCUUAUCAGCUUGUUGGUGGGGUAGUGGCUUACCAAGGCUUUGACGGGUAGCCGGCCUGAGAGGGUGACCGGCCACAUUGGGACUGAGAUACGGCCCAGACUCCUACGGGAGGCAGCAGUGGGGAAUAUUGCACAAUGGGCGGAAGCCUGAUGCAGCAACGCCGCGUGCGGGAUGACGGCCUGCGGGUUGUAAACCGCUUUCGCCUGUGACGAAGCGUGAGUGACGGUAAUGGGUAAAGAAGCACCGGCUAACUACGUG